rnacentral:antisense_RNA from 1 species
GCCGUGAAAGCCCUCAAUUCUUUGUCUGUCGGUAGACGGCCUACGCACGGGAACGACGGACUUUUUUCAACUAUUUGAUAUUCCCUCUUUACCUCGCUCCCUUAAGUUGACGCCUAGGUGCCUGCGCGGAAAUGACGAAGCUUGA